CCUACGGGUGACAGCAGUGAGGAAUAUUGGUCAAUGGCCGUAAGGCUGAACCAGCCAAGUAGCGUGAGGGAAUACUGCCCUAUGGGUUGUAAACCUCUUUUAUGCGGGGGUAAAGCUGUCCACGUGUGUCCGGCUGCAGGUACCGCACGAAUAAGGAUCGGCUAACUCCGUGCCAGCAGCCGCGGUAAUACGGAAGGUCCGGGCGUUAUCCGGAUUUAUUGGGUUUAAAGGGGGCGUAGGCCGAUCUUUAAGUGUGACGUGAAAUUUUGUGGCUCAACCCGGGGAGUGCCGCGAAAACUGGUGAUCUUGAGUGUGCGGGAGGUAGGCGGAAUGCGUGGUGUAGCGGUGAAAUGCUUAGAGAUCACACAGAACCCCGAUUGCGAAGGCAGCAUACCGACGCCUUACUGACGCUGAGGCACGAAAGCGUGGGGAUCGAACAGGAUUAGAUACCCGAGUAGUC
rnacentral:rRNA from 1 species